rnacentral:rRNA from 1 species
UGGGGAAUAUUGCACAAUGGGCGCAAGCCUGAUGCAGCCAUGCCGCGUGUGUGAAGAAGGCCUUCGGGUUGUAAAGCACUUUCAGCGAGGAGGAAGGUGGUGAGCUUAAUACGCUCAUCAAUUGACGUUACUCGCAGAAGAAGCACCGGCUAACUCCGUGCCAGCAGCCGCGGUAAUACGGAGGGUGCAAGCGUUAAUCGGAAUUACUGGGCGUAAAGCGCACGCAGGCGGUUUGUUAAGUCAGAUGUGAAAAUCCCCGGGCUCAACCUGGGAACUGCAUUUGAAACUGGCAAGCUAGAGUCUCGUAGAGGGGGGUAGAAUUCCAGGUGUAGCGGUGAAAUGCGUAGAGAUCUGGAGGAAUACCGGUGGCGAAGGCGGCCCCCUGGACGAAGACUGACGCUCAGGUGCGAAAGCGUGGGGAGCAAAACAGGAUUAGAUACCCUGGUAGUCCACGCUGUAAAACGAUGUCGAUUUUGGAGGUUGUGCCCUUGAGGCGUGGCUUCCGGAGCUAACGCGUUAAAUCGACCGCCUGGGGAGUACGGCCGCAAGGUU